rnacentral:tRNA from 1 species
GGAAGGGUGGCCGAGUGGUCGAAGGCGGCGGUCUUGAAAACCGCUAGGCCCGCAAGGGUCUCGUGGGUUCGAAUCCCACCCCUUCCGCCA